rnacentral:rRNA from 1 species
GAUGAACGCUGGCGGCGUGCCUAAUACAUGCAAGUCGAGCGAACUGAUUAGAAGCUUGCUUCUAUGACGUUAGCGGCGGACGGGUGAGUAACACGUGGGCAACCUGCCUGUAAGACUGGGAUAACUUCGGGAAACCGAAGCUAAUACCGGAUAGGAUCUUCUCCUUCAUGGGAGAUGAUUGAAAGAUGGUUUCGGCUAUCACUUACAGAUGGGCCCGCGGUGCAUUAGCUAGUUGGUGAGGUAACGGCUCACCAAGGCAACGAUGCAUAGCCGCCCUGGGAGGGUGAUCGGCCACACUGGGACUGAGACACGGCCCAGACUCCUACGGGAGGCAGCAGUAGGGAAUCUUCCGCAAUGGACGAAAGUCUGACGGAGCAACGCCGCGUGAGUGAUGAAGGCUUUCGGGUCGUAAAACUCUGUUGUUAGGGAAGAACAAGUACAAGAGUAACUGCUUGUACCUUGACGGUACCUAACCAGAAAGCCACGGCUAACUACGUGCCAGCCGCCGCAGUAACAC